ACUUACAACAACAUUCGUCGUCAAGCGUCAGAGAAGAGAAGAGAAGGUUUCUGAAGACAAGCAAGUCGGUGGUCUCAGCUCGUUUGACCGAGCCAAGAGGCGGCGGAGCUCGUGACCUUAGAGACGACGGAGCCAAUGAGCCUAGGGUUUCCGACGAGCUUGGCGAGCAGAAGUCAUUGGAGACUUCGGAGUCUUCUCCUACUCCUUGUACUGACUAAGACGUUGCCUAUUUUCAUUCAUAUGCUCACGUUGGGAUUCACGAAGAGAUUAUCAAGGAUCGGGCAAAGGAUGGAAACUUUUUGGGGAAGCCAUAAUGCAGCAUCAGAGCUUAAUCCAAGGCAAGGUUGUGGAACAUGCAUCCUUUCAAUCUUCUGUUCUCAAGCGGGAGCAAAACGGGUUAAACAUAUAGACUGUCAAACUAAAAAAAUCCAAGAGCUUGACUCCGUCACUGCAAGACAUAAAUUCAACUCAAUGAUGAGAGGGUUUUGCAUUUCGGUUCGACGUUGAAUUCAGCGGACCAGCCUCUUCGCCUGCCAACACUACUAGUGAAACUAGUGUUGCUAGUGGUUCUUCGUCGAUAAGUCCUUCUGGAGAAGUAAAUCAGAAGAAGCGGACUAAUCCGAGUGAUGCACUUGUGUUGUCCACCUCUCCCGAGGCUCCUCCAACGCAUUGGCAGCAAAGUUGGAGUUUCUUACUACGACUGUAGUGUACGCCAGCUUCAUGUGCUACAAGUUUGGGAGGAAGAUUGCUCAGAUUUUACCUUCAUUAAUAUGGGUAUAACUUUUCAACUUGAUACAGAAUGGAAUGUUUACUAGUAGAGUUUACUUAUAUUGCUGUACCUCAGUUAUAUUAAGCUUGGUAAAGUGGGUUCUUCAUGUACGAUGCGUCUAUGGAAUUAUCAGCUCAACUAUGGUGUCUAUGCUUCUUGAUUGCUCAAUAGCCUUUCACUCUACGAUGUGUCUCUAACAAAUCACGACCACAUGUAUUUCUUCACACUUUGAUAACAGUUAUUUCGUUUCUGUAAAUGAAUAUAUAGUUUUUCUGUUCUGCAGGGUACCUCAUGUGCAUCUUUGGAGAAAAGCUUGAUGAAACUGCACUUAAUAGGCUUACUGAAUUUGUAUUUGCGUUUUCCAAUAUGGAUGGAGAGACUCAGCGAUUCUUUUACCAUACCCUGAAGACACGAGAGUUAGACAACCUUCUUGGAGAUAUCUACCACAAAAUUUUAGAUAUGGAAAGGGCAAUUAUUAGGGACUUAUCACACACACUUUUGUUCUCGUCUUACUUGCUGACUGAAGGCAGUUAACUUUGUUGCAGAACUUGAUUGGUAAUCAAUAUUCAAAAGCUGCGGAUAUCACAUAUCAUUUCUAGUCUCUCCUCUUAAAGAAAAGCAACACUUAGGUAAGAUCGAUGUAGAGUAUGAUGGGAAGUGUUAUUGUGGAAUCGAUAGUAAGUUUUAUAUCAUCAACUUGAACUUUUUAGUACAAUCAUUACAUUAGAUUUGCUUGGUAUACUGGUUAAACUGAGACUUAGUUUCUGAUUUCUGCAAUUUUAUGUGGAUUUGAUGUUUCUAAUUAUAAGCUGGUACAAAUUUCAAAGUAUUAGCUUUGCCAUAUCCCACAUAAUGAUAGACAGAGAGGUUUGUCAUU